UGGGGAAUAUUGCACAAUGGGCGCAAGCCUGAUGCAGCCAUGCCGCGUGUGUGAAGAAGGCCUUCGGGUUGUAAAGCACUUUCAGCGAGGAGGAAGGGUCCAGUGUUAAUAGCACUGUUCAUUGACGUUACUCGCAGAAGAAGCACCGGCUAACUCCGUGCCAGCAGCCGCGGUAAUACGGAGGGUGCAAGCGUUAAUCGGAAUUACUGGGCGUAAAGCGCACGCAGGCGGUUUGUUAAGUCAGAUGUGAAAUCCCCGCGCUUAACGUGGGAACUGCAUUUGAAACUGGCAAGCUAGAGUCUUGUAGAGGGGGGUAGAAUUCCAGGUGUAGCGGUGAAAUGCGUAGAGAUCUGGAGGAAUACCGGUGGCGAAGGCGGCCCCCUGGACAAAGACUG
rnacentral:rRNA from 1 species